rnacentral:rRNA from 1 species
GUCUACGGCCAUACCACCUUUAACAUGCCCGAUCUUGUCUGUUCUUGGAAGCUAAGCAGGGUUGGGUCUGGUUAGUACCUGAAUGGGAGACA